rnacentral:misc_RNA from 1 species
ACAAACUUGGUCAUUUAGAGGAAGUAAAAGUCGUAACAAGGUUUCCGUAGGUGAACCUGCGGAAGGAUCAUUAAAAAUUUUUGAACCAAUUUUAUGGAUCAAAAAAAUCCAUAAUCCACCUUGUGUGCUUCUAUUGACCUUUGGGAGAUGGCCUUCAGAUUUUUUUUUUUGAAGUUUCCUCUCCCAGAGGGUUUUAUCUAUAUAUACCAAAUUUUUUUGACUUAAAAAUCUUUUUAUAUGUAAAAUAAUAUAAUAAACAACUUUCAACAACGGAUCUCUUGGCUCUCGCAUCGAUGAAGAACGCAGC